rnacentral:tRNA from 2 species
GGAGAGUUGCCCGAGCGGCCUAAGGGACCGGUCUUGAAAACCGGCGUGGCGUCCUGCGUCACCGUGGGUUCGAAUCCCACACUCUCCGCCG